AUGGCCAGCAACUCCAGUGCACUGCCCCGGGUGACUUUCCAGACGCCAGAGAAACCUGGGGAGGAAUCAUCACACAGGAAACUGGGCAAGUUGACCAUAAAGUACAACCGCAAAGACCUACAGCGCUGGCUGGACCUGGAGGAAUGGAUCAACGCCCAGCUGCAGGAGCUCUACCAAUGCCGGCUAAGGGAGGAAACAGAGGCAGCAGCGCCUGAACCACAAAUUGAUCUUGAAGAUCUCCUGGAGGUCCCUAAUGAAGAACAGAAAUUAAAACUACAGGAAAUCCUCCAUGAGUGCUCCAGCCCCACAGAGGACUUCAUUACAGAAUUGCUUAGUCGAUUGAGAGGUCUCCGGAGAGUCACCAAUCCUCAGAAGAAAUGACCUUGCUUACAUGGAACACCCAGCUUUGGUUAAAAGGAAACAUGUAUCUUCCUCACAAAAACCAGGAUCAGCAACAGAACUUCUGAAUAUGUUUAGGACUUAUUAUUAUUGAGAAACAACACCAAGUUUGUGAAAUUUGUACCAGCGCUUUGAAGCCUCCACUCCUUCCAGAUCUACACACACAGCAGGGAGAUAGACUUUAGCUGAUUUUCCUGAUUCUUAAAGAGUGUGUUAACCUGAGGAACAGUACAAGAUGUCCCUCUCCUUUAGAUUCUUCUAGGAAUUUCCAUGCAGGCCAAGGAGCACUGAAUACAAUUCUCAGGAGCUCAUCAAGACCUCUUUUCUUCGUCCACUGCAAGGAAAACAAGGCAUUGGUUACCAUUCAUUCAUCAACAUGGAAAAUCAGCCACUGUUAAGCUGCACCUCAUUUCAGUCUGGCUUGGGCCCAACUGUGAUCUCCUGCCUGUUACUGCUGUACCUGACUCUACAGCAUUGCACAUACUCUGUGUCAGUGAACAAACUGUGGGUUGUGUCCUCUGAGAGGACAAAAUCCAAGCUGCAGUAAAAACUCUGAUGUAAGGGCCUGUUUCCGUUCACAUGCUGCUCUUGUAUGACUGGAAGUUGACAAGCCAUGGACCUCAUGUCUUGUUCUAAGGCUGCUCCAAGAUGUUCUAAGGCUCACACACUAGGCUGGAGAAAUGGUCUUUCUUUACCAGGUCCAAUAUCUACCUAUGGGAGUCCUGGGAACGUGGCAUUUUUGGCUUAAAAAGGGGCUAAUGGAACAUGCCUACCCUCAUGAAAUCUCAACCUUAUAAGUAAAAUAACAACAAAAAAAUUAAAUGUAGAGCUGCAAUGGUUGCAGAUCUGGCAUUGCUUAUGGAUGACACCUGCUAAGACUCAUGUAACACAGCCCUUGAGAAAGGAGAGCAGCAUAUUGAGAAAAACCUCUACGCACUGUUAAAAACAGACUGGGAUCAAACAGAAG